CGGUGGAUGCCUUGGCAGUCAGAGGCGAUGAAAGACGUAGUAACUUGCGAUAAGCCCAGAUUAGGUAGUAACAACCAUUUGAGUCUGGGAUUUCUGAAUGGGGAAACCCACUUACAUAAGUAAGUAUCAUUAACUGAAUACAUAGGUUAAUGAGGCGAACCGGGGGAACUGAAACAUCUAAGUACCCCGAGGAAAAGAAAUCAACCGAGAUUCCGAAAGUAGCGGCGAGCGAAAUUGGACUAGCCCUUAAGCUUUACACGCG
rnacentral:rRNA from 1 species